rnacentral:rRNA from 1 species
AUUGAACGCUGGCGGCAGGCCUAACACAUGCAAGUCGAGCGGAUGAAGGGAGCUUGCUCCUGGUUUCAGCGGCGGACGGGUGUGGAAUGCCUAGGAAUCUGCCUUGUUGUGUGGUAUAACGUCCGGAGACGGGCGCUAAUACCGCACACGUCCUGAGGGAGAUAGUUGGGGAUCUUCGGACCUCACGCGAUCAGAUGAGCCUAGGUCGGAUUAGCUAGUUGGUGGGGUAAAGGCCUACCAAGGCGACGAUCCGUAACUGGUCUGAGAGGAUGAUCAGUCACACUGGACCUGCGACACGGUCCAGACUCCUACGGGCGGCAGCAGUGGGGCAUAUUGGACAGUGGGCGAAAGCCUGAUCCAGCCAUGCCGCGUGUGUGAAGAAGGUCUUCGGAUUGUAAAGCACUUUCAGUUGGGAGGAAGGGCAGUAAGUUAAUACCUUGCUGUUUUGACGUUACCAACAGAAUACGCACCGGCUAACUUCGUG